rnacentral:lncRNA from 1 species
AACAACCUGCACAGUGCCUUCAAAUCAAAACAUCAAACAAAAACCUAAAAUCUAGGUUACAAAAUUUUCCAAUUCCAUCACAAUUCAAGAACUAAUGAAACCAUUUAGCUUAAACCCAAAAAAGAAAGGAUAAAAAAACAUAAGAGAGUUGAUGAACCUAAGCUGAUACGAAAUCAAAAGACAUGAGUGGAAGAAAGGAGAACCAAUGACCUUCCCAGAACAAGCAAGGAGGAAAAAAUGAAUGGUGAAAUGUGAAGAGUUGAAAUUGGAAUAGAGAAAAUGGAAGUGUUUAGUCUUGUGAAAUGAUGAAGAGAAAAAAAAGAUGAAAAAAAUUUGGAUUUUUGAGAAUUAGGGAUUCUGAAAUUUGAGAAUUAGGGAUUUGAAAUGAUUAUUGAAAAAUGGUAACCGUUUACCUGAACCGGUUUGUAAUAAUGGUUACCGGUUUUUUUUUAAUUUGAUAAAUGGAUCACCAAUUUCUAAAUAUAAUUUUGGGUUGGGUUUUAAUGUUUGGAUUAAUUUGGAUAGGAAAUUGGUUCAUGGUUAUUGGUUAUUUUGCACACCCCUAACUGUAUGAGUGUGAUCCUCUUCCUAAUCGUUUGAUUUUGAAAGUUUUUGAUGUCUUUGUUUUCCUAAUAUAGGCCAUAACACAUAGUGUAUAUAUAGUAUCAAAUGUUAAAUUUGAUGAUUUCAUUGUUAUGAAGUGUAAAAAUAGUAUCACGAUACCCGAAAUAAAAAAUACUUUUACCAACAAAUUGUGACAAAUUUUUUAUAUAAAGGAUUUAAAGUUGGGUGGAGUGGUAUGUGGUAGAAGACACUGGUAAUACAGUUACAUGUCUCUCAAAGAGAUUUUUGACACCAAAAAGUUUGUUAAGUACAAUAUUCUAGGUAAAUAUGGUACAAUAUUCUCUAUAAAUUAUCACAAUGCUAACUCAUAUUUUCUUAAGAACAUGUAUUUUGAGAGAGAAACUCACUUAGGGUAAUAAAUUCAAUUUUUUUUGAUAUUUUUUUAUUUAGAUAUCAUAUAAACACAAUAAACGACAAAACUUAGGUUCAUCAACUCUCUUAUGUUUUUUUUUUCCUUUCUUUUUUGGGUUUAAGCUAAAUGGUUUCAUUAGUUCUUGAAUUGUGAUGGAAUUGGAAAAUUUUGUAACCUAGAUUUUAGGUUUUUGUUUGAUGUUUUGAUUUGAAGGCACUGUGCAGGUGUUUUUGCGUUCUAAAUCUUAGGAAGGAUAGAUAGUUUUGAUCCUUUGAUUCUAAGAAUUGUUUGAAUUAGUUGACUUCUGUUGAAAUUUCUGUUCUGGAAUCUAUUUACCAGGUUCAUUUUGUUAGCAAAAACUUCAAUAUUCUUGCUUUCCCAGUUGUUGCUCUGUGUCUUUUGAGUUUUUUCUUCCGAAUUCCCAUGCCUUUGCAGUUUGCGUGCUUUAUAUCUCCUUGUGUUUGGAAUUGAAAUUGUAUGAAUGAGUGACACUUUGCUUAUGUUGUAAUACUGUAAAUAAUGCAGGCAUAACAGAAGAGUUGUUACAUACAUUACCAGGAUCAUUAUGAGUUGUGGCUGCUUUGGAGCCUCAAACUUUCAAGAGAAAGGACUCCGUCUAAUACCCUAUGAAAAUUUGAGGUGUGUCUGUGUUACUUAUUUUAAUAUAACUUAUGUUCAUUUAGUUUUGCACUUAAGUGAAAACAGGGUUUAGUAUUGGCAAAGACUCCCUUUGUAAGGCUUUUUUACUGGUUAGGUUUUAGUCGACCUGGUAAUACAACGAUGAUGUUCAAAAUAUUCUGAUAGCAAUACUUUUUUGUAACUACAACGCUUUCCCAUUAAGCACUAUACUUAUGUAAGGCCUUGUGUCCAGGAUAAAAUACUGAUAUGAACCAUCAAUUGCUAUAAAUUGCAAAACUUGUUAUUCCAUUUUUCUUUCGCUAACAUUCUACUACUGAUUUUUUCACUGCAGGUUAGAAAGACCACGACGGUGUUUGAAAACUAUGACUAGCUUACCCCUCUCAACGCUGGUCGUCUUGGGUGUUCUCCAUUGCUUUCUGGUGAAUUGGUUGUAAGACACGUUAUCAGCCCCAUAUCCACCAAGUUGGAUUCUCAGUCCUUGCAUUGCUAGUAAGUUUCAGAUAACCACAUUUCACAAAAUCAUCAAAAUACAUGAACAACCACUUUCAUCAUUUUAUCCAUUCUCCUGUUUUGGAUUGUACUCACAAGCAUAUGGCCCUACUUAUAAACUCGUUCUCAGGUUAGAUCUCAUCAAAUGUAGUGCUAUUAACACAAUCCUGAACAAAUAUUUAAAUGUAUAAAACUGUAAAUUUCAUUUUCUACAUGAGGAUAAUAGAGUUGUAAUAGAGGCACACAGAUGUUGAGGAAGGCUUGAAAGAAAGAUAUAAGCAAAUCACCUCAAAAAGAAUCUCAGCAGGGGUGAAGUUAGCAAAGAAUGCCCCCUUUUAGCAGAGACCAGCAUCCAUGGUUGGCCUAUGACAUGACCACCAUGUACCGAUUCACUUCCAUUUGUUUUUAAAAACAACCGAAACAAUCUCACUUCCUUCACUCAGCUGAAGCCAAGCUGAAAUGUCCAAAAUGUUUUUAACAAAAACUAACUUAAUGAAUCACCAACAUUGUAAACAUUCAUGAAAUAACCAUUAACAAAAGAUAAACGGCGAGUUACCAGAAAAAAUGUAUAUCAGUCCUUUUCUCAGAUGAACCUUCUGAGAGAAACCAUCCAAUGCUCGUGUUCUGUUGCGAGCCCACAUGAAUCUAUUGCCGUCAUUGAUAUCCGUUCCUCAAUUGUCCAUUUCCAAACACAGUCCAAGCCUUAAUGUUAUGAUCAAACCCUGGAUUUAACUAAUAUGCCUCCUCCAUAUUGUGCCCUAUGAGGUUCUUUCCACACACUGCAUUAUUUCAAAGCAUUGGCAAACACAGUAAUUUAGCUGAAUGAAAACUUGCAGAAACCAAUUUCAGUUAGUCCAUAAACAUGUUAACUGAUAAAGAAGAGACAUUACCCUGAGUAGUAGCAGAAGUUAGUGGAUUUAAGAUUUCAGUUAUUAGUUAGAAUGUUUUCAGUUUUAAUCUCAGUUAUCAGGUGAAGAUGAGUUGUGCCACCUUUGUUGUUGAAAGAAAUGUUUAGUUGGGAAAAAGUCAAUUUUUGUGAAAAAUGCUCAGGACUGUUAGUUUGUUUACUGCUGAAUGAUUAUCAUGCUAUGGCUGCAACAUUCCUGUUUUGUGCCUAUUGCUAGUUAUUAGUUAAUUUGUUGUUCUGUUAAUUGGAAAUGCAUUGCCAUGUUGGAUGAGUCAGCUGUAGAAUCUUGUGAAAAAGUAAUGCAUCAUACAUACCAAUUGAAUAAGGAAAUGUCAUAUUCAAUCAGAUUUUUUAUUGUUUUUUUAUCAUAUUUUGUUUUCCUAUUUUUAACAGAAUCAGAUGACUAAUGUUGGUACACUCUAUGCAACAUCCGAGAAUACCAGUUCAACCCUCCACCUACAAUCUCUAUGAAAUGCACCUCCUCACACUAAGAAGCGAAAGAAUCGUUCAGAGGUUUGGAAAGCAUUUCAUUGUAUCGCGUCGGAAGAAGAACAAAAAGCUUCGUGCAAAUACUGUGACACGAAAAUUAAGUAUAAUAAUGGAAACUAGUUCCAUGCAUGCUCAUGUAUCGAGAUGCCUUGUUUACAAGAGGCAAAGGACAUUUGUUCUACGACAAAGUGUUGAAGAACAGUUUUGGCUCUCCUUUAAUUGUCAAGUUUGACCAAGAAGCCAUUAGAAGAGCAAUGGUUAAGAUGUUCAUAAACUGGAGAUUCCUUUUCGGAAGGUUGAACAUGAGUCUUUCAUGAAUUUUGAGUCCGCAUCACCAAGAUUUUCAGAUUUGUUCACGCACAAACACUAGCGCGUGAUGUCUUGAAACUAUGGGAUAGUGAAAGAAUGAUUUAGAAAAAUUUUUUCUCUCUCUGAAUUGUCGAAGAGUUUGUCUCACUACUGAUAUGUGGACUUCUUCUUGUCAAAAGUUGGUUAUAUGUGUGUGACAGCCCAUUUCAUUGACAAUAAUUGGCACUUACAUAAAGCAGAUUUUAACUUUUUGUCAAGUCACAAGUCAUACAGGGGAGCUAUUUUGUGCAACAAUGGAGAUGUGCUUGACAUAGUUGGGGGUAAACCGUGUGCUUAGUUUGAGAGUUUGAUAUGCUUCAUCUAAUGAUGGUUGGGGUUGAGCGUCUCAAGAGAAGGCUUUGUCUAGGAAUAGUUUGUUAAUGAGUGGAAAUCAUUUCAUAUGCGGUGUUGUGCGCAAUAUAUUGAAUUUAGUUGUGAAAGAAGGUUUGAAGACAUUGAUGACUCUAUGGUAGAAUCCGUCAUGCUGUGUGGUAUGUUAGAUCUUCUCCUGCGAGGCUUGCUAAAAUUCAAGGCAUGUAUUGAUGAGGAAAACAUGGAUUAUAAAGGUUUAGUUGGGCUAGAUGUUGAGACUCGUUGGAACUCAACAUACUUGAAUGUAGUAUCCGCAUCAACACAUGAGAGGACCUUUGAAGAAUUAAAGUUUUCGAGAUAAAAAAGUAUGUGAAUGAGUUGACAAAGAAGGGGAAAGGUGUUUCGACGCAGAAGAAGAUUGGAAGCAUAUUAACUUAAUCAUCCCAUUCUUGAAGUUAUUUUAUGAUGCUACCUUACAUAUAUCGGGGUCAUCUUAUUUGACAAGCAAUAUUAUAUGUUUGAGAUCCUAGUAUUGGAAAGAGCAUUGUGGAUAUGUGUGCGUCUGAAGAUGAGCAUCUACGUUCAGUAGCUCAAAAAAUGAAGAAGAAAUAUGAUAAAUAUUGGGGAAAUUCAUGAGAAGCUUAACAUGUUGUUGUUGAUUGCUCUAGUAUUCGACCCUAGGCGCAAGAUUAGAUUGGUCGAUUGGAUGGUAAGCGAUAUUAUAAUAAGGAUGAUGCUGACGCCUUGAAAGCAAAUUUAGAGUCUAGCUUGAAAUCUAUUUAUGAGGAAUACGUGUUGGAUUAUGUCUCCUCAAGGUAAUUCAGAUGAGUUGCAAGUUUUUGGUGGUGUUAGUGAUCCUUAUGGAACUGCCGAGUUCUAUAUUUCAGAAGGGUGUGACAAUGCGGAUAAUGAGUUAAGUACUUAUCUUGGAGAGAAGUUAGAGCAUAACAUGGAGAUAAAUGUUCUAGAGUGGUGGAAAAGUGAACUCUGGCCGAUAUCCCAUCCUUUCAACAUUGCAAGAGACAUGCUGGCUAUACCUAUAAGCACAGUGGCUUCUGAAUCUGCAUUCAGUACAGGAGAAAGGGUGCUUGAUCCUAUCAGCAGCUCAUUAAAACCUACAACAGUCGAAGCGUUGAUAUGCCCCCAGAUUGGCUCAAGGAACAUCUUCCUCUUUGAUUACAAUGAAGAUUUUGAUAUUCUUGAGAGAUUUGAGCAAGGUAUGAUAACUAAGUAUAUUCGCUAAUGUAUUAUUAUUUAUUAUAUUUGAGGUAUAUGAAAUCUCUUAUAUGUUUUAUAGAAUUAUUUAUACGGAAGAUGGUGCUAGUUGUUCAACCUCUUCAACUUCUGUUACACUCGAAGAUGAUUUAAACGUAAAGAAUUCUAAAGUUGUUGUUUUUGCAUAUUCUACUCAAUUUAUUAUAUGUGCAUUUUCUGCAUUUGUGGGUUUAUGUGUUGCGUGAUUUGUUUUGACUUAAUGUGUUACUGAAUCUUCCCUUACACGGGUCUCAUAUUUUUGUACUUUAAACUAGGCUCCUUAACUUGAAUAUAUUUUUUUUUGAGAUAAUGAGUUUGAGUUAGAUUUUGUUCGAGACAUGGUCUUAGAAAUCGGGUCGUCCAUGUCUUAAAAUGUAAAAUAGACUUGCAUUUCACUGUUUCACUUUUGAAUAUGCUAACAUUCUUGUAAUUUCAUUUUAUUUUAUGCAGCAUUAAGCUUAUUGUAGAAGAAGCUGAUUAAUUGCUUAUGGAACUAUGAAGUGAAGAGAUGAAAACAAGUGUUAAAGAGAAAGGAAUCACGUCAUAAGAAGUUGCUUGGAGUUUUGAAGUCAAAGUUGCUUGCACAUGAUUUCUGGGCUGGUGUCACCUGAACUGAAGUUUGCCGUUGAUGCCGAAAAUUCUUCUUUGCUGUGGAAAAUCAAGUAUUAGUUCCUAUAAGUAAGUUGUGAUGAUCAAACUAGUUAUUUCAUAUGAAUCUUUUUGAGCUCUUGGCUUUCUAUGAUGUAAGUGUAAAUGCGGUAUCAAGUUGAACUGUGGAAGAAAAAACAUUGAAGACUGAAAAAUAGAUUUGAAUGAGGUAUAGUCUAGUGAAUGUUGAAAGCUUGCGUGUUACCUUGUGUUUUGAAUUGCAUAUGAAAUGCAGAUGUAAUGUUCUAAACCACAUGUGAAUGGAAAUUGGUAUAAAUGGAAUAUUUAGAUUUUUGAAUAAUAUUUAUAAGUUUGUGUAUAUUUAGAAUGGAAAAAUAGUGAUUAACUUCAAGAGCGAUUGGAUAGAGUUAAGAAGUUGUUGGAAUGAAAAUUAAUUUGAGGAAAUUUGGUUUUAAAAUUGAUCCAAACAAAAAUUAAUUUUUUAGUACAAACCGGUUAUUAACCAAACCGAUCCAAACAUAAACCGAUUUUAAAAAUUAAACCGUUUUAUCAAAGUGGUUUUAAAAACCAAACUGAUCCAUAUAUUUGGUUCAAUUUGGUUAUGGUUUUGAACCAUGCACACCCCUACAUACAGUAUUGUAUAGCUUUUUAAAAAAACAUAAGAGAGUUGAUGAACCUAAGCUGAUACGAAUCAAAAGACAUGAGUGGAAGAAAGGAGAACCAAUGACCUUCCCAGAACAAGCA